rnacentral:rRNA from 1 species
CCUACGGGAGGCAGCAGUGAGGAAUAUUGGUCAAUGGGCGCGAGCCUGAACCAGCCAAGUAGCGUGAAGGAUGACUGCCCUACGGGUUGUAAACUUCUUUUAUAAAGGAAUAAAGUGAGGCACGUGUGCCUUUUUGUAUGUACUUUAUGAAUAAGGCUCGGCUAACUCCGUGCCAGCAGCCGCGGUAAUACGGAGGAUCCGAGCGUUAUCCGGAUUUAUUGGGUUUAAAGGGAGCGUAGAUGGGUUGUUAAGUCAGUUGUGAAAGUUUGCGGCGCAACCGUAAAAUUGCAAUUGAUACUGGCUGUCUUGAGUACAGGUGAGGUAGGCGGAAUUCGUGGUGUAGCGGUGAAAUGCUUAGAUAUCACGAAGAACUCCGAUUGCGAAGGCAGCUUACUAAACUGCCACUGACAUUGAUGCUCGAAAGUGUGGGUAUCAAACAGGAUUAGAUACCCCAGUAGUC